GGCCCAUUGAGGUUUUAUUUUGGGUCGUACCUGCCCAAUGGAUUUAUUUGAAUGGCCGCAGUAUUUUGACUGUGCUAAGGUAGCAUAAUAAUUUGUCUUUUAAUUGGGGACUGGAAUGAAGGGUUUGACGUGAAAAUUACUGUCUCAUUAUUUUUAUUUUGAAAUUUACUUUUAGGUUAAAAGGCCUAAAUUUAAUUAAGGGACGAAAAGACCCCGUCGAGUUUAAUAUUUUAUUAAAUUUAAAAUAUCAUUUAAGGAAGUUAAUAAAUAUUUAGCUGGGGCGGCUGAAAUAGUUUAUCUUUUUUUGAUUAUGUUGUUUGUGAUGAAUAACCGGCUGAGGUUUAUUGUUGAUCCAAUAUUAUUGAUUAUAAGAAUAAAUUACUGCGGGGAUAACAGCGUAAUUUCUUUUUAGAGUUCGAAUUGAUAAAGAAGAUUGCGACCUCGAUGUUGGAUUAAAUUUUUCCUUUUGGUGAAGAAGUUUUAUAGGAGGGUCUGUUCGACCUUUAAAAAUUUACA
rnacentral:rRNA from 1 species